rnacentral:ncRNA from 1 species
CCGUCACAACGGCUUCCUGGCGUGGCGGAUGUUUUCAAUGGAGCG